CUGAUACGACAGGGGAGCGCCACGGGCGCUGAGAGUGCGGGACACCGCAGACCCUCGAACCUGAUCCGGUUAGCACCGGUGGAGGAAGUCGGGCUUCUCGAUCC
rnacentral:ncRNA from 2 species